AUAAUUCAAAUUCGUAAGGAGUUGGAACGUUUAGCAAACUUAGUUGCCGCUAGGGGCGCUGUUGCAACUGCAUACAAAUUUGAGUUA
rnacentral:pre_miRNA from 1 species